ACGCUGGCGGCGUGCCUAAUACAUGCAAGUAGAACGCUGAAGGAGGAGCUUGCUUCUCCGGAUGAGUUGCGAACGGGCGAGUAACGCGUAGGUAACCUGCCUGGUAGCGGGGGAUAACUAUUGGAAACGAUAGCUAAUACCGCAUAAGAGUAGAUGUUGCAUGACAUUUGCUUAAAAGGUGCAAUUGCAUCACUACCAGAUGGACCUGCGUUGUAUUAGCUAGUUGGUGGGGUAACGGCUCACCAAGGCGACGAUACAUAGCCGACCUGAGAGGGUGAUCGGCCACACUGGGACUGAGACACGGCCCAGACUCCUACGGGAGGCAGCAGUAGGGAAUCUUCGGCAAUGGACGGAAGUCUGACCGAGCAACGCCGCGUGAGUGAAGAAGGUUUUCGGAUCGUAAAGCUCUGUUGUAAGAGAAGAACGAGUGUGAGAGUGGAAAGUUCACACUGUGACGGUAUCUUACCAGAAAGGGACGGCUAACUACGUGCCAGCAGCCGCGGUAAUACGUAGGUCCCGAGCGUUGUCCGGAUUUAUUGGGCGUAAAGCGAGCGCAGGCGGUUAGAUAAGUCUGAAGUUAAAGGCUGUGGCUUAACCAUAGUACGCUUUGAAAACUGUUUAACUUGAGUGCAAGAGGGGAGAGUGGAAUUCCAUGUGUAGCGGUGAAAUGCGUAGAUAUAUGGAGGAACACCGGUGGCGAAAGCGGCUCUCUGGCUUGUAACUGACGCUGAGGCUCGAAAGCGCGGGGAGCAAACAGGAUUAGAUACCCUGGUAGUCCACGCCGUAAACGAUGAGUGCUAGGUGUUAGACCCUUUCCGGGGUUUAGUGCCGCAGCUAACGCAUUAAGCACUCCGCCUGGGGAGUACGACCGCAAGGUUGAAACUCAAAGGAAUUGACGGGGGCCCGCACA
rnacentral:rRNA from 1 species